AUUUGAACAAGAUUUUACCGCAAGGCUUUUCGUAAAGAUAUCUUUACGAAGAUUAGUCUUCGUAAAAACGUUCAUGCUGAUUUUUACGGACUUUCAGACAUUGAUUCCGUUGUGACCGAUUUUGACCCCAACACAGGCUUCCAUGAAUCAGAACUUAAUGGUGGUUGCCACCAAGCUCCGUUCACUUCUUUUUGACCUAUAUCCAAGAAUUCUUUGUGAAGCGAGCCUUGAAGAUUGCCGCCUCCAAGUCCCGUUCGAAUCCUUUUAUUGGAGUCUCUGUGAAUCAAGCCUUAAUGGUUUUAGCCACCAAGUCGUGUUCAGACUCAUCUUAAUUAAACACUAGAUCUUUUUUUUUUCUUUUUUUUGAAACAUAGAAAUAUUAAUUACUAGCUAAUCUAGGGUCGGAAUUAGAGAGAGGAAUGUGAUAUAUAAUUCUACACAAGGCUUUUACCUUCCAGACUUGUCUGAAGAAUCCGAUCCCAUGUAUACCAAACCCCAAGACAACCAGUGAAGUCAGGUUAGUGUUGGAGGUUAGCUUUGGUUCUUUCAAACAAGCUAGCAAGUGUGUAUAGUUGACUGGUUUAUCCACUUUAGCAUCUACAGUACUAUCUGCAAUCAGUAAAUCUAGAAUGGUGCUAGAAAGUGGUUAGACCUUCAAGUAGAAAUCAUUAGUUCAUAAUCCCCUUCUUGACUCAAUAAAAUUAUUUUUGAACAGAUUUUUGACAAAAACUCAAGAA
rnacentral:lncRNA from 1 species